rnacentral:rRNA from 1 species
UACGAAGGGGGCUAGCGUUGUUCGGAUUCACUGGGCGUAAAGGGUGCGUAGGUGGUCAGGUAAGUCCGAUGUGAAAUCUCCAGGCUCAACCUGGAAAUGGCAUUGGAUACUAUCUGGCUUGAGGAGUGGAGGGGGGACUGGAAUUCUCGGUGUAGCAGUGAAAUGCGUAGAUAUCGAGAGGAACACCAGUGGCGAAGGCGGCCAGCUGGGCCGACCCUGACACUGAGGCGCGAAGGCGUGGGGAGCGAACGGG